GAUGAACGCUGGCGGCGUGCCUAAUACAUGCAAGUCGAGCGAACAGACGAGGAGCUUGCUCCUCUGACGUUAGCGGCGGACGGGUGAGUAACACGUGGAUAACCUACCUAUAAGACUGGGAUAACUUCGGGAAACCGGAGCUAAUACCGGAUAAUAUAUUGAACCGCAUGGUUCAAUAGUGAAAGACGGUUUUGCUGCCACUUAUAGAUGGAUCCGCGCCGCAUUAGCUAGUUGGUAAGGUAACGGCUUACCAAGGCGACGAUGCGUAGCCGACCUGAGAGGGUGAUCGGCCACCCUGGAUCUGAGACACGGCCGAGACUCCGACGGGGGGACGCAGUAGGGAAUCUUCCGCAAUGGGCGAAAGCCUGACGGAGCAACGCCGCGUGAGUGAUGAAGUUCUUCGGAUCGUAAAACUCUGUUAUUAGGGAAGAACAAAUGUGUAAGUAACUAUGCACGUCUUGACGGUACCUAAUCAGAAAGCCACGGCUAACUACGUG
rnacentral:rRNA from 1 species